GACAGAGGUGCCAAGCGUUAGGCGGAAUCACUGGGCUUAAAGCGUGUGUAGGCGGACUUCUAAGUACCUUGUGAAAUCCCACGGCUUAACCGUGGAACUGCUCGGUAUACUGGUUGUCUUGAGCCACUUAGGGGCUACCGGAACAAAUGGUGGAGCGGUGAAAUGCGUAGAUAUCUGGAGGAAUACCGGUGGCGAAGGCGGCAUCCUGGACCGACAUUGACGCUGAACGGCGAAAGCUAGGGGAGCAAACGGG
rnacentral:rRNA from 1 species